AAUGUCCUUUAGUUUUGUUAAAUGUGUUUAAAUGUAAAUAAUAGCAUCUUUUUACAUAAACAGGCAUCCUUAUGUUAUUAAUUUUUUUGCAAAAACAAAUAAGAGUUCAAAAUAAAAAUUUUAAUUUAUGAAAAGAGAAGAAGUAGGAAAAGUAUUUUUAAUUCAACAUUUACUGAGUGAAUCAGGAGAAGAAGUGUUGGUAAUUUAUUUUAAAACAGAUAGUAUCACGAGAAGAAGUGGUAAGAGUAAUAAAAUUCUUUCAUUCAACAUUACGAAUUGAAUUACGAGAAGAAGUGGUUGCAAUUAAUUUAAAACAUAUUGCAUCACGAGAAGAAUAGGAAAAAUAUUGCUAUACUUAAGUAUCAAGAUUAAAAUACUGAUGUACUGUUAAACUGAAGGUGGUAAUAAAGUUUACAAAGUUUGCUCUGACCGAAUUUUUCAAUGAAAAAACAAUAUGUGUGCUAUGAAUGUAAUCUGUUUUUCAUGGCGCAUCAAUGAAAGUUUGGUGUAUUGGCCAAAUCACUUGCAAGCAUCUUGCCUUUAAACUGCCAUACAUAAAGUCACGCUUUUGAAAUAACUGAAAGCAGCUGAAUAUAAGAAUUUUUUGAUGAACUUUCUUACUUCGGUUAGAGGAGAUGAGAAACAGCUUACAGCGGCAAUCUUAAUACAGCUAAUGGCCAAAGAAGUAUGUUUUUCAUACUCAGUGUAUGGAAUGAAACAAAAACGUCCUGCAAGGUCGUUAUAGAGUUGCGUUUAGUCGUUUAUCGUUAUAUUCGUUCAUUUCGAAAUCGCUACUGACAAAAGUA